GUUCUUUGAAGUACGAAUACUAAAAUUUGAACGAUACAGAGAAGAUUGGCAUGGCCCUUUCGGAAGAAUGACACGGGAACUCGUGACGCGUUCCGUAAGCCA
rnacentral:snRNA from 1 species